CAACCUACCCCCCCCUUUUUGUUACAUAUCUGUCCUCAAGGAAGUCAACUCAUCUACCUUUUAUCUUUCAACUUUGCAUCAACCUACCCCCCCCCUUUUUUUUUUUUAAUUAAGAAGUCCGAUUCCUUGCUCCACAGGAACCCAGGAUUCAAAGAGACUACUAGGUUUCUUCCCCAACAUGGCUUAUUACCCUAUUUUCCAACUGUGAAAUUCUCAUGUAGUCUAUUGAGAGUAAAAGUUUCUUAAAUCUGUUCUUUAAAAAUUACAUGGAUAGGUUUCUUACACAUUUAUUUUGCCUCUUCAGUUAUUUAUUACUAGUUUUCUUCAAUCAAGAAAUGAUUAACUCCUGUGGCAGUACUUGGACACUACAGUAAAUUAUAUUUCUACAAGUCAGUGCUUUAUUUUUAGGAACACAAAUGGAGGAAAAAGUAACAUUUGAAAAAGCAAGCUGUUAAUCUACACCAGUUUUCUUUCUUUCUUUCUUUUUUUUUUUUAAAGAUUUUGUUUGUUUAUUUGACAGCACAAGUAGGCAGAGUGGCAGUCAGGGAGAAGCAGGGAGCCCCAUGUGGGGCUCGAUUCCAGGACCUGAGCCCAAGGCAGCUGCUUAACCUACUGAUCCACCCAGGCGCCCCUAUACUGAAGGUUUCUGAUUGAUGUUAUGGUUUCCCUAUAUAGCAAUGUCCCCUUAUCUGAGGAGGAAACAUUCCAAGACCCCCAGUGGAAAAGCACAGACAGUACCAAACCCUGUACGUACCUUUUUUCCCUAAUUAACAGGCAUUCCUGCAGUAAAGUUUAAUUUAUAAAUCAGGCACAAUGAGAUUAACAAUAAUGACUAAUCAAAGAUAGAAUUAUACUAUAAAUAAAAGUUAUGUGAAUAUGGCCUCUGUCUCAGAAUAUUGUACCUGUAUUCAAUGCCUUUGAUGAUGUGAGAUGAUAGAAUGCAUUUGUGACGAGAUAAAGUGAGAUGAAUGUCAAAGGCAUUGUGAUGUAGCAUUAAGCUACUAGUGACCUGACCAUAUGUCUGAAGAGUAUUGUCUGCUUUCAGACUCUGGGUAACUGGAACGGUGGAGGGCAAAACCACAGAUAAGGAAGACUUCUGUAUUCCCUGCACACCUGAUCCUAUAUUUAACAGCCCCAAUUAUUUUCCUACUAGGCAGGGCCUAUGAAUUGUGAAGAAUUAUAUCAUUGUUACAUUUGGAAGGAGCAUAGGAGGGUGAAAGAAAACAUGGAUGAAGCUUCCUGAAUUUCGGCUUCUGGGAUGAAUCAAGUUCAGACAGUAUUUCCUCUCAGGUUAGUCAGUGUCUGUUGAAACAUUGUUCCUUCCUUCUGUUUCCUUAACCGUACUUCCUGAUCCUGGCACUGCUGAUUUCAUGAAUAUAUGUAGUAAUGGUCCCCAUGCUUUGAAUUAGUGGAAUGUUAGUGAAUAGUUUAUAGUGGAAGCUGAAACCUCUGCUUCUCUGCCUGUAUUAAGGGAUCCCCAGGGUCACUGCCCUUCUCUCUGAGCCAAGUUGGAGGCUAUUUUUAGCUCCAGGUUGCCCUCAUCUUUCCUUGGUUAGUAUUUGUCCUCAGAUAAAAAUGAACAGAGUAAAAAUGACCUAUCAAACAGGUCUUUACUAAGAAAAGAAAUUCCCUCUUGGUUUUUAGUAAUCCCAAGUCUAGAAGCCUUUAGUUCCUUGGAAAGUGUAUAAUCUUAAAAAUGGUUUAAUAUCAUAAAUUCAGAUCGAUACUAGGGACACUAGUUCUGUAUCUUCCUCGCUGCUUUCUACCUUUUGUAAAGGUAACAAUUUUCCUAUUAUCUUAAGUUAGAUAUAAACUUUUAUAGAACAUUUACAUUGUGACCUUCAUGACAGAAUUUCCAGUGAUGGUGUCCGGUCAUCCUUAUAGAUCCAGAAAGUAUUAUUUUAAGGGUAUUUCUUAUCUACUUGUAAUGAUUUACCAUCUCUUCUGUUCUUGCUUCCACAAGUGUGGUCCCAGGAACCAGGAGAAUCAGCCUUUUGGGCUUUUGGCAGUGCACAAUCUCUGAACACAGCUGACCAAAUGAAUCUGAAUGCUCAUUUUAACACAAUCCCAGAGGAUUUGAAUGAUGCGCAUUGUGUUGAGAAUCAUUGAUAAGAGAAAUUUCACCCUUUUAAAGUAUCUGAUGCCAGUGCAGCACAAUAAUGUGAAAACUCUGUUUUGUGUUCUAUUAUCCAGCUCUAGAAAAUUAACUGUGGGUAAUAAUUCUCAAAGCUGGUUCCUAGACCAUCUAGGAGCUUAAGAAUGCACAUUCUCAGGUCCAGCUACUGAACAGAAACUUGGGGGUGGGAUCCAGCAAUGCACUAUUUUAUUCUUAAAAGGCCUCCAGGUAGGGGUGCCAGGCUCGCCCAGUCAGUAGAGCAUGUGACUCUUGGUUUCUGGGUCAGGAGUUUAAGCCUCACAUUGGGUUAUAAAGAUUACUUUAAAAAAUAAGGCAGGGUGGUUGGUGCCUGGUGAGUGGCUCAGUCAGUUGAAGUGUCCAAAUCUUGAUCUCAGCUCAGGUCUUGACCUCAUGCUCAUUGAGUUGGAGCCCUGCAUUUUUCAUCUUAAAAAGAAUGAAAAAAUAAAAGCCGUCCAGGUAAACUGUUUACUGUUGGAGAGCCACCAACCUAGGGAAUUAUUAACUAAAAAAUUAGAUUGCCCUUUGAAAUUAGAAAAUUACUUUGUAAAUAUUCUGUAGACCUUUUGUUUAAUUUUCAAAUUGCUUUAUUUGUAAGUCCUUUAUUAAAUAAAAUUUGAAAAAAUAAUCUCAAAGUAUGUGGGUAAGGGGAAACACAUUUAAUGUGCAUAGGCUAACUGCACCACAGAUCAAAGCUAUGGCAUUCAUUAUGUGGUUAUCAGAGAGAGAUCUUGUAAGCUUGUCAAGUGGAUCAGUCAUUGGAACUUUAGGAUUUUGAAGUUAAUUUUGGUAAGAGAUGAAUAGUAUUUAUUUAAAAUAAUUGCUUUUCAUUACAGAUUUUCUAGUCAAUGGAAAAGAGAGUCCUUUCAGGAAGAUACUUUUAUUAAGUUUAUAGAUGUUAAUAAAGUGCAGAAGUCUUAUUAAAAAUAGGGUAUCCUCAGGUUAUCCUUUGAUGAAACAGUGGUUCUCACAUUUUCAAGGGGCAACAGAACCCCCUGGAGAACCCCCUAACCCCCUUUGUUAGAACAAAGACUGCAGAUCCACCGUGUAAGAUUUAGAGGGCCUGAGAGGUUUCAUUUCUAACAGGUGGUGUUGGCUCUGGUGUGAGGACUGCAUUUUCAGAACCACUGCUACUGCUGUUUUUUUUUUCCUCAGCAUUAACGUAUUUAACUCUCCAGGCAUUCUCUAUACGAGCUCACAACAAAAUACUAAUUACACAGGUGGAUUGCAGAAGAAAAUUUUAUAAAUCCAGCGUAUUAAUUCAGUUCUUGAAUAUUUUUUAAGUCUGUUGCUCAGUGACUCUAGCCUGGCAAAUUCUUUCCUUUGUAACUUAAACUUCUGUGUUUCCUACAGAAGAUACACAGUAGAUACUAAUUUCUGUUUGCUAACGAAUUUAUCUUUUUUUCAGGUCAUUUUGUGGGCGAAGUGCUUUUAAAGACAUAGGAGAAACAAGCCAGAAAACAAACUCAUUUCAUUUGUGAAUUUAUUACUCCAUAUAAACAACGUAAGAAUGUAUGAGUAAACAACUUAUGGAUGUAUGAGUAAUCCUAACAUUUGACAUUAUGCUUCAUGAAGUUUUCUUUGGUUAAAAUAAUCUGGAAUAAUGCAGACUUCCAUUUUCAUUCAGGUGUUUUUUUGUUGUUGUUUUUUAUUAAGAUGUAUACCUACUCCUUCAUGUGGUCUUGCCAUGGAAUGUAGUAUGGUGUAGUAACCCACAAAUACAGAAUAACCAACAUACUUCCCUUUCAACUCCCUAUAAAUGGGAACCAUUAGAGGGAUUUUUUUUUUACCACCUCAUGUGGCCUGCAAUUUUGGGUAAGUCCCCACAAUAAGGAUCUCAUCAUGGAAUUUGGCAUUGUUGUGAGAAAGAUCAUGUUUUACUAAAGCCAUAUAUUGUAUUUUUUAGCCCAAGGAAAGCAAAGAAUGGCGGAUAUGAGCAAGGCAGAGUGUGUUGUACAGUAAUGGAAAAUUACUUUUUUCCAAGUUAAACUGAUGCCCAGUAUUAGGGUUAGGAUUCCAGCUGGGGUCCUUGGGAGCUCUGGGUGUUGGCAGAGGACUAUUUCCUGAUUUUAAUUUGGUCCUUUUUUUUUUUUUUUUUAAAGAUUUUAUUUAUUUUGACAGAGAGAUCACAAGUAGGCAGAGAGGCAGGCAAAGAGGGAGAGAGGAGGAAGCA